rnacentral:rRNA from 1 species
GUCCACGCCGUAACGAUGAAUGCCAGCCGUUAGUGGGUUUACUCACUAGUGGCGCAGCUAACGCUUUAAGCAUUCCGCCUGGGGAGUACGGUCGCAAGAUUAAACUCAAAGGAAUUGACGGGGCCCGCACAAGCGGUGGAGCAUGUGGUUUAAUUCGACGCAACGCGAAGAACCUUACCAGCCCUUGACAUCCCGGUCGCGGACUCCAGAGACGGAGUCCUUCAGUUCGGCUGGACCGGAGACAGGUGCUGCAUGGCUGUCGU